ACCAAAUGUUAUUUUUUGGGUGAAAUAUUCCUUUAAGAUAAAUAUCAUUCAGUACAUUAGAAUUUCAAUUAAUUUUACAGCACAGACCACAGAAUUCCAUGGCCAGUCAACAUUAACCUCUCCAGCAUCCUCAGCAUGCUCCUCAAUCUCAAUCUCACCCAGCCACCUAAUUACUGCUGCAGAUUGGGUUGACAGCUUCCAGGUUCCAUGGGAGAAGCUUCCUGAAGCCUUGAUGCAGUGUUUGGAGAGAGGGAAAAGGCCAAGCCCACGGUUACGUAGAGAAAUGAUCAGGAUUGUCGCUUCUGAGAUGAUGCAUGCCUGUGCUUCUCCCAAUAGACAAGCCUCGACAGAAGUUGCCAAGAAAAUGGUUGGAAAGUAUCCGCAGUCACUGCAAGAUGUCAUAGAAGGUGAUGUGAUAGGACCAGGAUAUCACUCACUGGUCAAGCAGUUACAAGCUCGAAUUGAAAAUGUAAAGUGGUCUUCAGUACCACGGAUAUUGAAGCGCAAACGGGUGUCAGAUGAGUAUGAUACUGAUGAAAUCCCAGCUGAACGAAGGGCAGCUGUUCAGGACACAUAUGGCUGCAUACAGUGGGACAUGAAAUUCAUGCCAGUGAGUGAGACACUGGAAAGUCAACAGGAGAAAAAAGAUAAACUGAAGGUGCUCAGUGAACAGGCAACCAUCAGUCCAGAGGAGGUAAAAACUCUUAUGAAGUUCACCUACUUUUCCCAGUGUAAGGCAAUAAACAGUGGAACAGUCAUGGAAGAGUGGCCUUUUUUGUUUAAGGAGACUGGCAUGAUGGUUCACUUUCAUGACCUUACUGGUGUAUCACUAAAAGAGACUUUCCUCAGUGAUGUGGAAAAAAGGAAAACGUGUUCUGGACUUCCUGAGAGGUGUUUGUGCAGACAAGAGCAAACAAGUUUUGCAGGCUGUCACAAAGUUAAAAAUUUUGAGAGGACAGUUGGAGGGCUGCUCAGAAGAUGUUAAGGAUCUGGUGCUCCUCCUACUGUCCUAUUUUAAUGAAAAAGAGGAGAACCUCUUCUACUAUGUUGAAGAAAGUACAAGUGGAAAGCUUGCCUGUGACACCAUGUGUCAUUGUAUGUGGAACAUCAUGUUAUGCUGCAAAGCAAUUCAUGCUCAGUGUAGACCAAAAAAUUGUGAACGACCAGAUCCCCACCUUCAUCACUGCUGUCUGCAUGAUGUUUGCAAGCUAUUACUGCCUCAAUAUCCACUAUCCUGUGGGUCUGGGCUCCACACUUGAGUUCCUUCAGAGGUGUUUCUUCAACAUCAAUCCUGAGAAGGGCACAAAAGUGGAAACGAAGAAAAACAAGAAGCAACUGUCAGUGAAUCCAAGAGUCCUCACCCUCAUCGCUGAUGUCUCUGAUCAUGAGUGGAGAGAGACAUGUUAAAUAUGGACCUUCAGUUAACAUCCAUAACACUUAAACAGCACUAGUUGUAUGGAACAGUAUCUAUUUUACUGUACCUACUGUUCUGUUAACCACUAACAGGUUUUGGGUUAACGUUACUGUUUUAAUAAGCAUUGUUUUGGUUUUGUUAAAUUGACAAACUGGCUUAUUAUUAAAAGUUACUAAUGUCUAAUGAUUACCUAAGGCCAAUGUAAUAGAAUAUUUUGUUAAUUUUUAUUAGAGGCUGCGUUUGUUCAGUUAGGUCGAAACAAAUUGAGGGAAAUACCAACUUUACUUGCAUAUUUCUGAUUUUUGAACUACCUGCAUAUAAUGCAAUGUGUGUUUAAUUUUGGCUUUUGAGAAGUUUGUCAUUUGAAAAUUUGAAGAGUCUGAUACUAGUAGGAAGUUCAGAGUGUUUGGCUGUCCACAUGCUGAGGUUAAUUUAAAGUUCUGGAAAACAUAUUCUGGACCUUUUUUAGUGAUUUUUGUGACCGUUCAGAUUAGGUACAUGGUUGGUGUCAUUGCUAAGAUCUAAGAAACUACUUUAAAGUAAGUAAACUGAACAUUAUCAAAUCCUUUAUGUUAAAAGUAUGUUGUCUUUAUACAGACACUAGCUGAAUACACUUCUGUUGUGUAAGUUAUCUUGUCAUAAUAAUUGUAAAAGUUGACUUUCACUUCUGUCACGUUUUAGGCAGCGCUUUCAAACUCAUGAGUGGUUGUUUACUUGGAGGAAACAACUUGCUUGGACCUUUGUGACACCAAAGAAAGUGCAGCAGUAGGGAUCAACAGGAAACACAGUGAAAAAGACCAGGAUUGCAGCACCAGGCCGUGGAAUCAAACUUUGGUCGCUGCAAUGUGUGUUGUGUUCUAGCAGAGGUUGCACAUGACGGCCCUCAUCAAUCUCUUUUUCCUGCAAGUCUCCUUUUGGAUUAGAUAUAUUUAUAAAUAGCGAGAGGAUCAUGUCAUCAUGUCAAAGCACAAUCUGUUGGCAAUUUAUGAUUCUUCAAGAAGAAACAAUGACAACACCUGCUCAAAAUUCCAGUUUUCAGAACAGUGCUACCUGUCUGAAAGAGCCUCUGUCCCACCUCUCUUCAGUAAAGUCUGGAGCCAGUAAUUCAGACACCAGUCUCAAGGAUAAAUAUUGAGAGAUCAUGCCGGUCCACAGUGACUACAUGCGAGUCCUCAGGUAGUACACGUGACAAUGCAAGCUUUACGUUUCCAGUUUCUCGAACCAACUCAGUCCCAUAUCUUCAGUCAAGUGUGGACUUAUUACUAUUGUUCAA